rnacentral:rRNA from 1 species
UACGUAGGUGGCAAGCGUUAUCCGGAAUUAUUGGGCGUAAAGCGCUCGCAGGCGGUUUCUUAAGUCUGCUGUGAAAGCCCACGGCUCAACCGUGGAGGGUCAUUGGAAACUGGGAGACUUGAGUGCAGAAGAGGAGAGUGGAAUUCCACGUGUAGCGGUGAAAUGCGUAGAGAUGUGGAGGAACACCAGUGGCGAAGGCGACUCUCUGGUCUGUAACUGACGCUGAGGAGCGAAAGCGUGGGGAGCAAACAGG